GUUGUCUUGGGGGCAGCGCCAGCCACCAGAGCCCGAGUCAGCGCGGCCAGGACUCUGCAGGGGCAGGUAGCGACCCUUAGAGACGCAACGUGGCGCAGCGGACUCGGCUGCGUGGGGCAAGGGCCGGGGCCGGACACAGGAGCAGCGGGGAUGCCGGGUGCGCUCCGAGGGUGUGGCCCCCGGGCUGUGCGGGGCUCAGAGCUGCUUGCUGGGCGCGGUGCCCGACAAAGUUAUCCUGGAUCCUAUCUUUGGUACCAAUGUGACCCAUCCUGAGUGAAGGCUCCAUUUCUGGCCUUUGGUCUCUUUCUCGGAAAGCAGGCCUCAGUGGCCUCAGUUUCUUCCCAGAACCUGCAAUGCCCCACCAAGGUGACAAGAAGUGCAAGGAGUCGGUUUUCACUGCCAACCAAAGAGGUGACCCCCGCAAAGCAACCAUGUUGGGACAGUCCAUUUGCUGCGUUUUGAUUAUUUGCUAAGAGCAAAUACCUUUUCUGUUUGGGUUUUGCUUUUAGAAAAAAAAUGUGGCAGAUGGUGGUGGCUUUCCCCGUCAUUGAAAGAAGAAAGGUAGUAACUCUACUGGUGCACUCCUCUGAGUUGUGCUAACAAAGAAGAAUGCUGAAAGAAAAGGGAAAUGAACACCAUUUUCAGGCAGCUUCUCCAAGUUUUUUUGACAGUGUUAUAAUUUUCCUUUAGCGACUGUUGAAGCAAAUAUCUGUAUUUAUGUUCAGAUUAAACCGAGAGAGCAAAGACUGCUAAAGCCAGUAAUUUCUGGGCUGCAAAUGCAGGAUAG
ensembl:lncRNA LINC02350 long intergenic non-protein coding RNA 2350